CAGAAAAUAGUAUAUAAUUUUAGUAUAUAAAUUUUGGAUAUUUAUGGAGAAAAUCUUUUCUGA
rnacentral:tRNA from 1 species